AGCCCUGUAGCUCAGAGGUUAGAGCACUCGUCUCUCAAACGAAAGGCCUGGGUUCAAUUCCCGGCAGGGCGA